rnacentral:rRNA from 1 species
GCACGGUGGAUGCCUUGGCACUAGAAGCCGAUGAAGGACGUUACUAACGACGAUAUGCUUUGGGUAGCUGUAAGUAAGCGUUGAUCCAGAGAUUUCCGAAUGGGGAAACCCAGCACAAGUUAUGUUGUGUUAUCGACAAGUGAAUUCAUAGCUUGUCAGAAGGCAGACCCGGAGAACUGAAACAUCUUAGUACCCGGAGGAAGAGAAAGAAAAUUCGAUUCCCUGAGUAGCGGCGAGCGAAACGGGAAGAGCCCAAACCAAUAAGCUUGCUUAUUGGGGUUGUAGGACACUCUAUACGGAGUUACAAAGGAAUAUAUUAAACGAAUCAUCUGGAAAGUUGAAUCAAAGAAGGUAAUA